CUCAUAUUUUUCCAUAUGGAGCCAUUUUCAUCGUCUACUCUUGAGCAACUUCACAUCCUGCCAGACCCUUUCUUCUUUGCCCUGACUUGGUUUUCAUUUUCCCUCCCCUUUCUUCUUCCUUGGUCUGCUACCAAAAAUAAGAACUAGAAAUAAGGGGAUUAAGUUGAUAGUCACAUGGACCUGUUUCAAUGCCUUUUCUCUACUUUCAGCCUACAAAAAGAAUAGGGCCAUGUUGUGUCUGUGGACCUUAGCAACACUAAAGGUAAGGACAAGAACCAUAACACCAGCCUCAGCAUGUGUACAUUUCCAGAAACUUACCUUGAACCAGGAUCAGGAGUAAAUCACAGCUUUCAGAUCCAUCUGUACUCCUCUCCCCAAAUUCGUUUCAUGCACGUAUCUCUUGUGUUGUCAACUGACUUUUUAUUUGACUUUUCAGGUCAGGCACUCUGCCAGCAGUAGCCAGAAGGAAAAAAAGAAAAGAGAUGCAGCCCAAACUCUCCAAGCAUGUGGCCCUCCUUGAGUACAUGCAUUUUGACAUCAGAAGCAUGUCAUAUAUCCAUCUUCAUAGCCUCUAUGACACCCAUGGAGUCUGGGUUGGCAGCCCAGUCUGUUGGCAGCCCCUAACAGAAAAUCAGAAAGGUAUGCCAAUAGUACCUCUCUCUCCUGGGAGGCCACAGGACCAGAUGCAUCAGCAGUACCAGGAGCACCAGCCACACCGGGUUCACCCUUGUUUCCAUCAGAUCCUGGGGGUCCAGAAGGACCUUGGCUUCCAAUGGGACCAGAGGGACUUACAGCACCACUCUCACCUGGGGCUACACAUUCCCCUCUUGCACCAGCAGGAUCAGGGAGACCAAAUUCACCAGGGAGACCCCUUUCUCCUGGUUUGGCAACUUCACCAGUUGGACCUGAAGGGCCAGGCAGAUCCUGGAAACCUGGAGAACCAGCAGGAUUCUGUUCACCUUUGCUACCUUGGACACCCCGGGGGGAUCCUUCUUACGUUUUAGAUAAAAAAUUCCUGCAAAC
rnacentral:lncRNA from 1 species